UACAGAGGUCCCGAGCGUUGUUCGGAUUCACUGGGCGUAAAGGGUGCGUAGGCGGUCGGGUAAGUUUGAUGUGAAAUCUCCGGGCUUAACCCGGAAACUGCAUUGAAUACUAUUCGGCUUGAGGUCUGGAGGGGGGACUGGAAUUCUCGGUGUAGCAGUGAAAUGCGUAGAUAUCGAGAGGAACACCUGCGGCGAAGGCGGGUUGCUGGGCUGACACUGACGCUGAGGCGCGACAGCGUGGGGAGCAAACAGG
rnacentral:rRNA from 1 species